rnacentral:lncRNA from 1 species
GGAGGAUCUUUUCCUAGCUUCUCGCAUCACCCUUAUCACCCUACCUUCUCUGAUCCUCAGCUCCACACCCGUACUCCCUCUGUUUGAAGACCUACCACGUCCCCUUCUGGCUUUUUGAACUUUGAAUUUUCACAAGAUUCUAAACUGCUUCCUCUCUCAGUUCUGAUAUCCUACUCAGUUUCAGAUGAGAAACUCCACCACAUAGAGUCGGACAGGGACCAGCCCAGUCUCCCAGCAAAGGGUGGUAGAAUUCACAAAGGAAGAAUCUUAUCUUCAACACUGGGCUGGAACAAGAUUUAAACAUGCUGUAAAUCCUACCAACUUCAUGAUGGCUCUCAUUGCCUGUGCUCAGAGGUCUUGGUGACACUCAAGGCUGUAAAUCUCAGGUCGGCUCCUGCCCUAUUGCACCUUGGCAUUGGAAAGAAAAUUAGAAGCAAAAUUCAGCUCGUGUCCUAAUGCAGACUUUUCUAGGAAGAAAGGCUGAAAAAUAUAAAAAUUAUCCAAAAUAAUAGCAUGUUUCUUAGGCUGUAAGGACCUUCCACCUAAAGAGUUAGCUGUCUCCCAGUCGCUCCACCACUCUCUCAGCAAACCAGACUCGACACCUGGAGUCAUCAUUGAUGUGUCCCGUGUGCUCUUCUGGACAUUCUCUGAACCACCACCCUGCAUGACUGCGGACGGCAUGGCAUGAUCCUGUUAGAUGAGGCUAUCAGUGCGUAUGAGCACAGACUUGAGUCCUGGCUCCACUGCUUGCUGGGUCCUUGGAGGGAUUUCACUUCUCUUUGCCUGUUUCCUCAUCUAUAAACUGGGGAUCCUGAGGUCGUUGCCGGGAUUAAAGGAGCCAAUAUCUGCAGAGGUCUCAGAACAGCACCUGAUGUGAUAAAGACCUUAUCCAGUUAAGUGUCUUAGCCAGUUCUCCAGGCUGCUAUCUUCCCAGCAAGCUACAGCACUUACAGCCAUCAUAAUUGCUUCCUUUAAUUCCAAAAAGCACUGCUAAUAAAUACUCUAGUGUUUACGAAAACAUUGCUAGAACCUAGAGUCCAUUGAUGACACCCCCCUCCAGUAAGUCACUUGUAGGACAUCUCUCUGCUCAGCCAUUUGCCUGCUGUUGAGUUGCAGGAGCCAGUUCUUAAACCUCGAAACAGAAGUCCUCUACAGCCUGUCCUCAGUGCCCCCAAGUCAAGCAUUCCAAAAUCUCUCCUUUAGCCCCAGCAAGUAAAAGCCCUGUUGAAAUAAUAAUUUCUACAGAUAUGCUCCCUGCUCACAGCAAGACUAUCUUUUACGUUGUUAUGCAAAGCAACUUAGCAACUCAUCCUGAAGUACUCUGUCCUAAAGCAGGACUUGCUUUUACCUUUGCAUAACUCAAAAGUCACAUUGUAAGUUGCUUUCUUAUAAAUAAAAGAGCAAUCUUCCCUUAAAGAAUUCU